rnacentral:rRNA from 1 species
AUGGUGGCGAGGCAAGAGCAAGAUUCAGAUUUUUUCUUCAGGUACUUGGUUGAUGAAGCUGGCCAUCUGAAGGGACUGUUCUGGUGUGAUAGUCAAUCCCGACUUGACUAUGAGGCUUUCGAAGACGUUAUUGUUUUUGAUAGCACAUACAGAACCAAUAAGUACAAUUUGCCAUUUGUGCCGUUUGUCGGGUUGAAUCACCACCGCAACACCGUUAUUUUUGCAUGUGGUAUCAUUUCACAUGAAACAAGCUAG